GUCUUUUUGAUAANUAANUUUAAAGUCUAGUCUGCCCAAUGNANNAUUANUUGAAUGGCCGCGGNNUAUUUUGACUGUGCAAAGGUAGCAUAAUAAUUAGUUUUUUAAUUGAAAGCUGGUAUGAAUGGCUGAACGAGAAAAUUACUGUCUCAAGUUNAAAUUUAUUAGAAUUUUAUUUUUAAGUUAAAAAGCUUAAAUUAAAUUAAAAGACGAGAAGACCCUAUAGAGUUUNAAUAAUUAUUUAGNAUUNNUUNUGNUUUUAGAAAUANANNNAUUUUAUUNUAAAUAAUUAUUUUAUUGGGGUGAUAUAUAAAUUUAGUAAACUUUANUNAAAUNUUAGUACAUAUUUUUAUGAUUAAGUGAUCCAUUAUUNUAUGAUUAUAAGAUUUAAUUACCUUAGGGAUAACAGCGUAAUCUUUUUAAAGAGUUCUAAUCGAAAAAAAGGAUUGCGACCUCGAUGUUGGAUUAAAAUUAAUAUUUGGUGUAGAAGCUNAANAUUAUUAGGUCUGUUCGACCUUUAAAAUUUUACAUGAUCUGAGUUUAAAUCGGUGUGAGCCAGGUUGGUUUCUAUCUUUAAUAUNAAUAAAUUAUUUUAGUACGAAAGG
rnacentral:rRNA from 1 species